rnacentral:tRNA from 1 species
GGGUGGCUCAGUCGGUUGAGCACCUGACUUUGGCUCAGGUCAUGAUCUCAUAAUUUGUGGGUUUAAGCCCCACGUCCA